UACGGGGGGUGCAAGCGUUGUUCGGAAUCAUUGGGCGUAAAGCGCGUGUAGGCGGCUUGACAAGUCAGAUGUGAAAUCCCUGGGCUUAACCCAGGAAGUGCAUUUGAAACUGUCUGGCUGGAGUAAGGGAGAGGAAAGUGGAAUUCCUGGUGUAGAGGUGAAAUUCGUAGAUAUCAGGAGGAACACCGGUGGCGAAGGCGACUUUCUGGCCCUAUACUGACGCUGAGACGCGAAAGCGUGGGUAG
rnacentral:rRNA from 1 species